ensembl:lncRNA
GUUGGUGGUGGAGUUGUUCAACCUAGUGGCGCUGCUGAAACUGGUCUGAAACCAGCAAAGAGUUAUGUAGCAGUUGGGACUGGGGGAACUGGCGGCGGAGGGAUUCGUAACCCCUGGCUCGGCUACGGAAAUCCCUACGGUGCUGGAGUGGGCCUGGGAGGCGGGCCCGGAGGUGUGCUGCCCUUAGCUAAACCACUGAAGCCCCCAGCGUUUGGCGGAGCCGGCGGGGCUGGCAUUCCUCUGUCGGCCGGACUUCCUGCAGGUGGACAGGUGUACCCUGCUACUGGGGGGCUGGGACCCGGUGGAGCAGGAGGUUACGGCAAUCUGGGAGCUGCUGGGGGAUAUCCACAAGGUGCUGUUGCUCCGGGUUAUGGUGGUGGAUACCCACAGCAGGCUGGAGGUGGAUAUGUCCCUGCCCCUCUGACUCCUCAACAAGCCAAAGCAGCAAAGUAUGGAGCGUUGGGGGGAUUCCUUAAGGGUGCAGGAGGAGGAGCCUACCGGGGUUGCCAGGGGAAGUUUUGUGGCAGGAGGAAGUAACGGAUCUCUGGGCUAUGCUGUGACCUCAAGAAACCAUGGGUCAGAUGAAGAAAGUGUUUUUGAACAGACAACCCGCCCUCAUUGCUACUAGGUUAACUAAUAUUUGUGUAAAGGACAACAUGCCAGUUUCUCAAAAUGAGAAACUGGUGGCCCUCAAAUAAAAUAAAAAAGUCCAACAAAAUAAAUAAAAACUAGAAUAUAGAAAUAGUUAUAUGUUUUAAAUUCGAGAGAAACAGUGUUUUUGCAGAAGUCUGUGUUUAUGCCCCUUCAACCUAGCCUGGUGAAAUAUCACUUGUGUAGAGGACAAAGGGAUUGACGCGUGCGUGCUAACACAACCGUACAAUACCAUCUUGUAAUCGAUUGUGCACACUGUAGGCAUUUGGUCCUCCAUCCUUGGAUGUGUUAGGGUUCUCAAACCACCACCCUGCAUAUCCUAUGGAGGUGGAGGUGAGAGGUAGAAGGCAUGUCCCUGGUGCUGACGCAUACUUCUUCAUGGUGCAUGUUCUCUGUUCAUGUUAAGCUUGUGACUGUAAAGAGCAGCCAGUUUGCCAGGUUGUUAUGACCUGCUCUCCUCAACAAUGGUCAUUCUAUGCAGUUAAGCAGCCCUGAUGUCUCCUUAUUUCUACCAUGACCAAAAGUGUAAAUGAAUGAAGGACCGUUUUCUGCUCUGGAUUAUUGUAUGCCAAAAGGUGUUUCAUGUCCUUAAAAAAAAAAACGUUAGGAUACUGCUCUGGUAUGUACAUUGUUGCAGGACAAUGACUUGAGUGUUGAGUGUGGUAUGGUGCUUUAUUCACCCUCAAGUGUAGUCUCACUUAUUAAGGCUUUCUGUAUUUACAUUUAGGCAACUUGUCAUUAUUCAAGAUUCUGUUUUCACCCGACCUUAUUUUCCUCAUAAUUUUGUCAUUAGCAGGUAUGUCUGAACAAGAAGUGAGAAAAUAUGUUUUAAACUUUGCUUCAGCAUUUAUUCACUGUUGAGAAUUAUACUGACUAAGAGCUUUGUUUAAAGAGGGAGACUACCUAUGUGUUUAUGCCCUGUCUAAGUGGGACUUUACCGACUUGAGUUACAUUAAAGGAAGUCUCACGCGUGAUCAGCUCAACUAAUAAUAGACUCCCUCUUUAUAUAUGUGUGUACUGUAUUUUAUACCAGUUGGACUUAAGCGCACUUGGUUCUAUUUCGUGCUUCUGUAAGAACUAUAUUUGAGCCUUGCUAGGUCCGACCUUGUCUUCUGUGCCGUGAGAUACUAUGUUCAUCUUAAUUUAAAAAAAGAAAUUAAAAGGAGAACCAUGGGGAUUUUGCACUUUUUUGUAUUUCUACGACACACUAUGACAUGCGCCAGACAUCCUGGCAUUUUAUUUGCUUCAUAAGAUAACAAAAUAAAAUGUGUUUAAAAAAUCAA